CAGUUUUGACUAGUUUUGAAUGUAUAAAUUUAUGCUAUUUUACUCACAUGUUGCUCGUACUGCGUAACAUUUUCUCUUUGUCCCACAGUCGCCAGAAGUCAACAGCACGUUCCCCUCUUUGUGUACGUACACGAACGACUAGCUUCUAUUUUCUUCCUAUUUUCGUGCUCGAUAAUAAAUCUCUCCUGCAUUUUUCUUUCCCUCUCAGAUCUUUUUUCUCUUUCAAACAUCUCUGUAUAUCUCUCUCGCUCUUUCUUGUUUAAUUAUUUUUCGUCUUUUACGACGAAUUCCUCGAUCGUGUUCGGCCUGGAAAGCCGACCUAGCUUCGAAAGUAUAUGCUCGCUCUGUCUCGCUGGUUGCACUGAGAUUUCUCCCAGAUCGUGACGUAUCCCACCAUUAGCAAGUGCGCCACUCGCUGUGUGGAAUGUCGUGUUAAAAUGCGCCAUUUCAACCGACUUUACGUAAGCUCAUACGACCAGACGAAACAGAGAAAAAGCAUAUUAUUUCUUGAGAUUUGCCGUCCUUGCUUCCUGAUCGAUGAUCAAGUGCAAAUUCCCGCGCGCGCGCUUUGUUUACAUAUUGCUGCACAAAUAUUACCUUCCCCUCCCUCCCUCGGGCAGGUCAAACAAUUGUCUGUUCGCUUGCUGUAUAUUUUGCAGUACUGGAAUGGAAAAUUUUGACCAAAUAUAACUGUUAUUUCUAUCUGGAGUUGUGCAAGUAACGUCAAUUUUACGGAUGAUGGUAUAUUAAUGUUCUACUGAGCGAAUUUUUGGCCAGAUGUUGCUCGUCGAAACCAGUUUAGACCCCGUGAAAGUAUACGUGUAAUUUGAGUUAUUUGACAAACAGGAUGGCAUUCCCGUUGUGCGUAUAGGUAUACUCGUCCAAUCGGAAGAUAUUUCGUUAAUUCCCACUCAAUUUUGGAUUUUUAUGAUGAGGUUUAACCGUCACUAUCGUUCAAGGUUCACAAACAGGGUUUUCGUCCAUCCAAAGUACAUUUGAGUUACUGAGCUAAACUUCAGCAAGUCUCGUAUUGUA